AGUAAAGUCAGCUAAUUAAGCUUUUGGGCCCAUACCCCAAAUAUGAUGGUUAAAAUCCCUCCCUUACUA
rnacentral:tRNA from 2 species